GGAAUAUUGGACAAUGGGGGCAACCCUGAUCCAGCGACGCCGCGUGGGUGAAGAAGGCCUGCGGGUUGUAAAGCCCUUUCGGUGGGGAAGAAAAGCCUCGACCUAAUACGUCGGGGUCUUGACGUAACCCACAAAAGAAGCACCGGAUAACUCUGUGCCAGCAGCCGCGGUAAUACAGAGGGUGCGAGCGUUAAUCGGAAUUACUGGGCGUAAAGCGCACGUAGGCGGCUCUGCAAGUCGGGUGUGAAAUCCCCGGGCUCAACCUGGGAACUGCAUUCGAUACUGCAUUGCUAGAGUAUGGGAGAGGGAAGUGGAAUUUCCUGUGUAGCGGUGAAAUGCGUAGAUAUAGGAAGGAACACCAGUGGCGAAGGCGACCACCUGGACUGAUACUGACACUGAGGUGCGAAAGCGUGGGGAGCAAAC
rnacentral:rRNA from 1 species